UACGAAGGGGGCUAGCGUUGCUCGGAAUCACUGGGCGUAAAGCGCACGUAGGCGGCUUUCUAAGUCAGGGGUGAAAUCCUGGAGCUCAACUCCAGAACUGCCUUUGAUACUGGAGAGCUUGAGUCCGGGAGAGGUGAGUGGAACUCCGAGUGUAGAGGUGAAAUUCGUAGAUAUCGAGAGGAACACCGGUGGCGAAGGCGGCCUUCUGGACAGUGACUGACGCUGAGACGCGAAAGCGUGGGGAGCAAACAGG
rnacentral:rRNA from 1 species